AUUGAACGCUGGCGGCAUGCCUUACACAUGCAAGUCGAACGGUAACAGGUCUUUCGGGAUGCUGACGCGUGGCGAACGGGUGAGUAAUACAUCGGAACGUGCCUAGUCGUGGGGGAUAACUACUCGAAAGAGUGGCUAAUACCGCAUGAGAUCUAUGGAUGAACGCAGGGGACCUUUGGGCCUUGUGCUACUAGAGCGGCCGAUGGCAGAUUAGGUAGUUGGUGGGAUAAAAGCUUACCAAGCCUACGAUCUGUAGCUGGUCUGAGAGGACGAUCAGCCACACUGGGACUGAGACACGGCCCAGACUCCUACGGGAGGCAGCAGUGGGGAAUUUUGGACAAUGGGCGCAAGCCUGAUCCAGCAAUGCCGCGUGCAGGAUGAAGGCCUUCGGGUUGUAAACUGCUGUUGUACGGAACGAAAAGUCUUGGGUUAAUACCCUGGGAUCAUGACGGUACCGUAAGAAUAAGCACCGGCUAACUACGUG
rnacentral:rRNA from 1 species